rnacentral:ncRNA from 2 species
CAUAGACUGAUUUCAGCUUUUCGUAUAUCCCCGAUAAUACGGUUCGGGAGUCUCUACCAGGUAACCGCAAAUUACCCGGCUACGAAAAGGGCGUUGGAUGUG